CGGUUUCCUUUCACUAGGAUGUACGAGCUCUCUCCGUUGCCUCUAACAAGGAUCGAUCUAAGAGCAUUGACUGGCGGUGGCUUUGUUCUUUGUCUAGAUCUGAAUCAGAUGCUUUGAGGCUGCUGAGAUUCAUUUAUGGUUCAAGCCCAGGCCAUUGACAAUGCAUAUGAAGGUAAGGUAUUUGAGCAAUUAUGGUUCCAGGUAACCCCUCUGUUCUUCUCCAUUUAACUAAUUUGGUUUCCCAAAUUGCACAGUUUUUUUCUUUUUCAUGUCGACGGGCU